UCCCGGCGCGUGCGCGCGCGGGGCGGGCGCGAGUCCCUGACGACCGGGCGGGACACGGGGCCGGCCGGACACACGGACCCCGGGGACACACGGACACGGGCCGCCGCCAUGGAGCACGGCCCGCAGCAGCAGAAGGACGAGGAGCAGGAGGAGGAGCAGCAGGCUCAGGAGCCCUGGUUCUGGCUGGCAGCAGAGCUGGGCAGCAGCUGCUCCUGGGACACCAAGCUGGGCCAGAGCUGUGCCAGGAGGGACCUGUCGGAGCUGCCCACGCUGCAGGAAGGGCUGCUGCCCUCAGCAGAAGCUUCUGGAGCUGCAGCCCCUGCCUCACCCCUGGAUAUCCAGGAGAGCAGAUUCUCCCCAUGCCUGCCCCUGCUGCUGAGCCCAGCCCGGGCUGAGACGUUCCUGCAGGGAUCCCAGAUGGAUUUCCUUCCCCUCAGAGGAGUCCCGGAUGUUUCUGGAGCAUCCCCGGAGCGUUCAGAGCCUGCCCACGUCCAUGGCAGCACAUCCCUGAGGAGCCCAGCCCUUCCCAGUCCAUCCCAGCACUCCCAGCCCGUGGCACAGGAGCAUCCUGGAGCUGCUCCCCAGCCUGGGGCGCCCCUGGGCGGCCAGGGGAGCAAUGGGGACAGUGGGGACAGUGGCACUGAGCAGGAGGCACCAGCCCCACCCCGGGGCAGGGGGGAUCUAGCACAGCCAGCUCCAGAGCAGGGGCUGGGGCAGCCCUGGAGCACAGCUGGGAGGGAUGGACACUCCUGUGGUCACUCCUGUGGUCACUCCUCCCAGGACAGCGAUGGCCCAGCUGCUGGCUCUGAGCUCUCAGAGGGGAACAAGGAGUCCCCAGGGCAGGAGGAAUCCUCCUCCUCCUCAGGAAACUCCUCCUACACAACUGCGCUGACCAAAUUCUCUGAGAAAAGUGAGAGGGGUGUGCAGCAGGCAAAGGUGAAAGUGGCUGGCAGUGGAGCAGGAGCCCUGGAGAAGCUGGAGAAGGGAAGGAAGGUGCCCGGGCUUGGUUUGUCACAUAACUUCUCUGAUGGCCUGAGGAAAGGCCGUGCCGAGAACUCGGGUGCUCAAGAUGUUCUUUGUGCAGCAGCUUGUGGGGCGGGCAGAGGAAGGCUGCAGGAGCCUGGGGUGCAGCCCAGGGGCUCCCAGGGGCUCAGGGGCUCCCAGGGGCUGGGGCCCAUGGCUGCUCCUGAGGAGCUGCAGGGAGCCUGGGCCAGCAGCAGCCAGCAGGGAGGCUGGGGACAGAGGGGCUGCUCCCUGCUGGCACACCCAGCCUGAUCCAGCCCCAGGACGCUGCCCCCUGCCCCGGGCAUUCCCCAGAGCCUGCAGGGAGCAGGGAUGAGCUCACUGCCUCUGACUGCUCCAUACAGAGGGGACACAAAGCCACAGAGAUCUCCCCUUCCUUCAGCCUGGGGGCUGAGGGCUCCUUCUCCCUGCUCCUGCCUCAUCCCAACUUCCAGUCCACUCCAGGGCUGUUCCUCAAGAGAACUGGGAAGGCAGAAGGACCUGGUGGAGGCCUGGUGAUGCUUUCAGACCUUCGGACCUCUCCUUGCUGUCCCAGUGAAGAAGCCCCAGGGAUGUCCCCUGACCCUGGGGAGCAGCCCCUCCCCAGAGCUGUGGUGAUGCUUUCAGACCUUCAGGCCUCUCCUUGCUGUCCCAGUGAAGAAGCCCCAGGGAUGUCCCCUGCCCCUGGGGAGCAGGCCCCUCCCCAGAGCGCUGUGGCAGAGGCCUGUGGGCGUUUGGAGUCCCUGAAGCUGGAAUCUCCCUGCCCUGGCAGGAUGCAGUCCUUCCCCUCGCUGGGGUUCCUGGAGAAGGUGGGAGCCUGGCACCUGCAGGGUCCUGCUGCCUCCAGCUCCUGUGUCCCAGGCGCAUCUCCUCCUGCGAGGAAAGCCUCCAGUGCACCUCCCAGGCCUUCAGGCUGUGUUCCAGCAGUCCAGAGAAGCCUGGGAGACCCCAAGGGCGGUGCUGCUCGUGCCCGCAGGGGCACAGGCUCCCUGGGAAGCGUGCAUUUCCCUGCCUCUGAGCUGCUGCCCGCCCUCCCUCUGAGCAGGUCCCAGUCUGACAGCACCGUGAACGUGCCCAGCAGCAGCAGAGCCCUGCCUGCAGCGAGCCCUGCAGCACAGGGCGAGCAGAGUCCUGCCCUGGGGGGCUCUGGCAGCCCCACCCCACGGAAGGGGCUGCCUGCAUCUCCUGCUGAAGAUGUGCAGAGCGCCGCGAGGCGAAGCUCAGCCCCACAUGUGCUUGUGUCCAGUGCUGCUCAGCUCCUUGCAAAGCAUGGGAGCUCCCCAGCAGAGGAGCACCAGGACUGUGGGGAGAAGGGAGAUCAGUCCCUCAGCCUCAGUAUUCCCAGUGGCCACGACAUCGUGGACAGCUUUGGAGCCAUUUCCUUGGAGAGUCUGAAUUUCCCUGUUGGCCCUGAGGAGCCUCAGGGGGCCCUGGUGGUGCCCAGGCCGUGCCCCAGUGCAGGAGGGAACAGCCCCAUCCCCUCUGGAGCAGCCCUGGAGACUCCCAAGAAAGAAGAGCUGAAUAUUGAAGAAAGGAUCCCGGUAAGUCUGGGUCUAAUUCAAACUCUGCUUCCAGAAUUAUCAAUUUUCCCCCCAGGUUAACCAUUUCUUUUCCUAGAGUUAUCCAUUUUUUUCAGUUAUAUGUUUUUUUCCAUUUGUUUUUCAGAGUUCUGCAUUUGUUUUUCAGAGCUUUCCAUUUGUUUUUCACUUUUCCAUUUGUUUUUCAGAGCUUUCCAUUUGUUUUUCACUUUUCCAUUCCCCCCCACUGCUCUUUUAGGAGAGGAUCCAAUCACUACAAGCCCUGGUUUUACACAGGGUUGUGCCACAGUGGAUUUCAUCCAUGGUACUGGUUCAGCUUAUUUUAAAUAGAGGUGGAAAAUAACUUUUAGUACUACUUAACAUGGGCAAAGACAGGGUUGGAUAUGGGAAAGGCCUCUUGUCUUUCCCAGGGGUAGUGAGUCAGGGUGUGGGAAAUGGAUUUGUAGAGAAUUUUCAAAAUGUGCAAACUUUGAGACAAGAAAUGCUGACUUAGAAAUGCCAUGGAAUGGACAGACAUUGCUGGGAGAGAAAUGGAACCAGAAACAAGUUUUAAAGGAUGGCUUUGCAAAUAGAUCUGGAUACUUUGGAGAAAUAGAACUGUGAAAGGUGCAUUGUAGUGGGACCCACGAGGGGUAAUUUUGAAUUAUUGUCUUAAGACAUGUACAGCAUGGUGUGGCUAAAGGUGAUAGACCAAGAAACACUUACAGUGUAUGGUAAUUAGGAAAUAGUUAACUUCCGAUUGUGGUGGUGUGAAUUCUAAUGUCUGUAUUGACUCACCCUUCACAUGAGACUGAAAAUGGAAUAAAAGUUUUAAAACACCUCCCAUUUACCCCAUCUCUGGGUCAGAAAAGGCUUAAUCCCCCCCAGGGGAGCAGGAGGAGAGGGAAGGGAGGGUUGGUGGCUCUCUCAAAGACCAGGCUCUCCGUGUCCAAACGUGAGGUUCAGGCUCAGGUGCUCAGUGAGGAGAGCUGACCCCCCAGCUCUGCAGGAGCAGCAAACCCAACCUGACUCCUUGGAAAUGAAAUUCCUUUUUUCCUGUGCUUUUCUCACUCUGCUUUUUCACUGUGCUCCAGCUUCUGAGGCCUCAGUUCUGAACUCUUGGUGUGUUCCUCACCUUCAGAGCCUCUUGAUGCCUUCCCUCCUUUCUGUCCUGUGUGGCUGCCCCGGGUUUCUCCUGAUGGGGCUGGAGCCAGGGGAGAGCCCUGUGCAGCACCUUGAGGGCACUGAUAGCUGGGAGUGGUGGAGCAAAUGAGAUGCAGAUUUAUGGUAAUGACAAACAUGUAAUUAUCCUCUGAGUAAGAGGCUGCUCCUCUCACAAGAUGACUCCAUAAUCAUCAGGUCUUGGGGAAUGUGCUCUGGAAGCUCUUUUCACUCUGUUGUCUCUGCAAACCCGUGGUGAAACAAAUAUAAAUAUUGGAGGGAGGGUGUUUGAAAUGAAAUUCAUGAGACAGAGAGAUGACUUCUGUUCCUGGCUAUAAUUACACACUCUCCAGCCUGGUUCUGAGGAAUGCUGCUCCCAUAAAUCCCUGAAGGUAAAGGAGAUCAGGUCACUUAUCUGGCUGGUAAUGUGGAAGUUUAUGAGAAAGUCAUAGGAAAUGGAGCUGGCUGUGAUGUGUAAGGUAAUUUAUUUCAUUUUCCUGGCUAGUUUAGGACAUAGUGUGGAUGAGUUGAAAUUAAUUUGCCCUACAGGUGAUGAAGCCAAGGAAAAUUCUGGCUGUUUUUUUUUCCUGCAUAUAACAUCUGUGCGUAAACCAGCUCUGACAAAAGUGCUCCCAACUAUUUGCCUGGAAGGUUUGACCAAAAUUGUCCUAAGAAAUGAGGAGCUUCCCUGCUGCUGCCUGCAGUUCCUGAGCCUGCCAGUGUUUCCUGAGCAGCAGCUGAGUGGGGAGGGAGAAGGCUUUGAACCCAAACCUUUGUGUUUUUAGCCCAAACCUUUGUGUGUGUGUGGGGAUGGAGUUUCCAGCAGGCAAGGCUGG
rnacentral:lncRNA from 14 species